CAAAGUCUAAAAUCACAUAAAAUUUAGACGUACACGCCGACCGGUCUACCACAUAUCAAGUGACAUUUGACCAAACAGAAAAAGUGGGAAAAAAGCUUCACACGUUUUCCCGACGCGUCUUUCCAAAAGUUUGGAAAACGCUAAUUAAGAAAUUGUGGUCCGCAGCAAACAACCCGUCAACACUCCGAGAUUCGGGAAUUCCGGAUAGUGCCAGGGGAAAGGAACCCCUUUGCGUCCGAAUCGACCCAGCGAAGAUCCGACGAGAUCCAGCACGAAGAGGCCUUCUGAAAAGAGGGCUUUUUUGUGGUGUGGCAUUUUCCACACACACGUGGAAUCGUCGCCGCGUUGGAUCAUCGCUUGCAGGAGACUACCGGUGUUGGAUCGCUUCAAGGGUGCUUACUGCCGAAGAGAAGUCAAUUCCGGCCAGCACUUGAGGGAGCUGUUCACCUCAAAGUGAACUGUGGUGACCCUCAGUGCGCAGCGACCAACACCACCGGAGCGGAUUGCAAAUUAUUUCAGGCACUCUUGCCUACUGUACUUUAUUCCCCGGCCACUAGCGCCGUAGGGGAAGUUACCCCGGAGAACAAAACCGGGUCAGCGGUUAUUUGUAUUCCGGCCACGAGCGCCGAAGGGAAUUUGAGUGCCGUUGUUUAAGCGCCGAUUAAGGUGCUGUUUUUUUAUUUCGGCCACCAGCGCCAAGAGGGACGUUGCUCGUGUUCCGACCCCGAGCAAUGUCCAUAAGUGGAUGUCGGGUUUGUGAGUGCUGAUUGAGUGGCCAUUUGUUCAUCCGGCCCCCAGCGCCAAAAGGACCUUGCUCGUGAUCCGGCCCCGAGCAAAGGCCAGUGUUUGAUGCCGGGAAUUGCCGCCCAACAAGGCGUUUCAAGCUAGUGUUCCAGCCUCGAGCGCUGAAGGGAUUCUUGCGUCGUUUUCUUGCCGAGAAGAGGAGCGUGAUGUUCCGAGCGUGAACAUAUCACCAGAAACAUCAAGGUAAGCUUAAGGUUUAUGGUUUUUAUUCAUUAAUGGUUUGAUUCGCAUCUGACGCACUCUUUUCAUUUCGUGCACAGAUUGCAGAGCAGCAAGAUUGCUGCAAUUUAAAAAUUCC